GACGAACGCUGGCGGCGUGCCUAACACAUGCAAGUCGAGCGGGGUUGAAGCGAGGGGUAACUCGAGUUUCUACCUAGCGGCGGACGGGUGAGUAACGCGUGGGCAACCUGCCUCAAGGACUGGGAUAACAGCUCGAAAGGGCUGCUAAUACCGGAUAUGCCUGUGGCCUCGCAUGGGGCUAUGAGCAAAGGGGAAACCCGCCUUGAGAUGGGCCCGCGUCCCAUCAGCUAGUUGGUGAGGUGAAGGCUCACCAAGGCGACGACGGGUAGCCGGCCCGAGAGGGUGACCGGCCACACUGGGACUGAGACACGGCCCAGACUCCUACGGGGGCAGCAGUGGGGAAUCUUGCACAAUGGGCGAAAGCCUGAUGCAGCGACGCCGCGUGAGCGAAGAAGGCCUUCGGGUUGUAAAGCUCUGUCUGGAGGGACGGAAGGAAGUGACGGUACUCCGGAGGAAGCCACGGCUAACUACGUG
rnacentral:rRNA from 1 species